CCGCUCGGCCCGAAGGGGCGGGCUCGGCGGCCCGCGGCCCGGGCGCGCGUGAAUGACGUCACUGGGCGCGUGCCCGGGUAGCCCGUAGUAACCCGGAGUCUGCGGAAGUGGAGACUGGUGUGGGCAGGCAGCUGAGACAGGGGACCAACAGUUUGUGGAACCAUAACUUGUGACAUCGAGUUUUUUUUUCCCCCCACUUUGGUAAGCAGCUGUUUAUGAUUCUUGAGGAUUAAGGCAAAUAGGAAACCCCAUCUGAGAUUUUUAACACAGCUCUCAAACAACAAGUUACGUCAUGGACAUAACGUUGGACCCUUCCCGAGAUGACCUGCCUCUCUUGGCCAACACCAGCCACAUGCUUGUGAGGCACUAUGCACUGGAUUUAGAUGUGGAUUUCGAAAGUCAAGUCAUUGAGGGCACCAUAGUGCUUUUCCUUGAGGAUGGAAACAGAUUCAAGAAACCAAGUCAUUCCAGCACAGAAACCUGUCCGUUGGAGUCAAAUGAAGCCUUUAAUUUUAGGAUGCCUGAACCCUGCCCUGUUCCUGUGACAAACGCAAGGACCUUCUCAUCUAAAAUGGCAUAUAAUGAUUUUACAAUCUGUGGUAAAGGUGAAAAAGAUACUUCUGAUAAAGAUGGUAACCAUGACAACUGGGAACAGGCUUCUGGGAUUUCUAGCUCAAAGUACUGCUGUGACACAGGGGAUCAUGGGAGUGAGGAUUUUUUGCUAGUGUUGGACUGCUGUGAUUUAUCUGUGUUAAAGGUCGAGGAGGUGGAUGUGGCUGCUGUGCCAGGUAUUGAAAAAUUUACGAGGUCUCCCAGGCUCACAGUUGGUUCUGAGGUGCUCAGGAAUGAGAUUAUACAAGAACUUGUGACUAUGCCUGCAGAUCGUUGGAGGGAGCAGUUAGACUAUUAUGCUCGCUGCAGCCAGGCUCCCGGCUGUGGAGAACUCUUCUUUGACACUGACACCUGGAGCUUACAGAUCAGGAAGAAAGGGGCUCAGACAGCUACUGACUUUCCUCAUGCCGUCAGGAUAUGGUACAAAACCAAACCUGAGGGGCGAUCAGUGACGUGGACCUCAGACCAGAGUGGCAGGCCAUGUGUUUAUACUAUAGGAUCUCCCAUAAACAACAGGGCCCUUUUUCCAUGCCAGGAGCCACCGGUUGCCAUGUCAACAUGGCAGGCUACAGUUCGAGCAGCUGCAUCCUUUGUUGUUUUAAUGAGUGGGGAAAAUUCUGCCAAGCCAACGCAGAUUCGAGAAGGAUGCUCCAGCUGGCAUUACUAUGUCACCAUGCCGAUGCCAGCUUCCACUUUCACAGUCGCAGUGGGAUGCUGGACAGAAGUGAUGCCAGAGCCAUGCUCAUCAGAUGAUCGACCCUCAGAGAGACCCGUCCCAUCUUCCCAGGCCGACUUCAGAUGUGUUGGUGUCUGUGGUCACAUGGAAUAUCCCUGCCGCUUCCAGAAUGCUACUGCCACUACUCAGGAGGUCAUUCCUCACAGAGUCUUUGCCCCGGUGUGCCUCAAGGAUGCCUGCCAAGAGACCCUUCUGCGACUGAUCCCUUCCUGCCUCUCGGCAGCACAUUCUGUGCUGGGAACACACCCCUUCUCCCGGCUGGACGUCCUUGUCGUCCCCGCCAACUUUCCGAGUCUGGGAAUGGCCAGCCCACACAUCAUCUUCCUCUCGCAGAGCACCUUGACAGGCAGCAGCCAUCUCCAUCUCUGCGGGACCCGCCUCUGCCACGAAAUUGCCCACGCCUGGUUUGGGCUCGCCAUCGGGGCCCGCGACUGGACAGAGGAGUGGCUGAGCGAGGGCUUUGCCACUCACCUGGAAGAUGUGUUCUGGGCUGAAGCACAGCAGCAGCUGUCCCCCGACGAGGCCCAGGAGCAGCAGGAGCUGAGGGCUUGUCUGCGCUGGCAUCGCCUCCAGGAUGAGCUGCGGAACUCCUCCGAGGAGAUGCAGGUGUUGAGACCUAGUAAAGAGAAAACUGGCCACGUGAGUGAAUCCGGAGCAUCUGUCAUCAAGCAUGGACUCAACCCAGAGAAGAUCUUCAUGCAGGUCCAUUAUUUAAAGGGCUAUUUCCUCCUUCGGUUCCUUGCCAAAAGACUUGGAGACGAGACCUAUUUUUCAUUUUUAAGAAAAUUUGUGUACACGUUUCAUGGGCAGUUGAUUCUUUCCCAGGAUUUCCUCCAAAUGUUGUUGGAGAGCAUCCCAGAAGAAAAAAGGCUCGGGCUGUCUGUUGAAAGCAUCUUCCAAGACUGGCUCGAGAGCUCUGGGAUACCGCAGCAGCUGCAGAGGGAGCGUCAGGCCGGGGCGGAAUGCGGGCUCGCGCGGCAAGUGGGCGCCGAGGUCUCCAAAUGGAUUCAGGUGAACCGGAGACCCCGAAAACGGAAGCGAGGGGAGCGCGCUGUGGUGUUUGAGAAGAGUUGGAACACAGAGGAGACUAAUCCCCAGCGAUGACCGGGGAUUCUGAACCACGGAGUCAUACUUUCUCAGCGUUUAUUUUUGCUGUCACACCUGUUUUUGAGAUCAUGCAUUGUGGAAGAGAAGGAGAGAGAGGGAGGUUCAUAAGUGUGGGCGGCCGGCAGCAUUCGCCUUUCCUGCCUUCACAGUGACAUUCCAGGCGUCCGGAGGGCGAGGCACACCCUUUACCUCAAGGCUGAGAGGGCAGAGAGAGCGGGGGCUUUGUCCCGUGAAACCCUGGUUACCGCCAGACUUGGAAAUGCAAGUACUGAUGCUGUUGUUGCCGUUGUUUUAAACCUUUCUUUCUUUCUUUAUUUGAAAGGCAGAGUUAGAGAGAGAGAGAGAGAAUCUUCCAUCUUCUAGUUCAUUCCCCAAAUGACCACAAUGACCAGAGCUGAGCUGACCUGAAGCCAGGAGCCAGGAGCUUCUUCCAGGUCUCCCGUGCGGGUGCAGGGGCCCAAGGACUUGGGCCAUCUUCUGCUGCUUUCCCAGGCCAUAGCAGAGAGCUAGAUCAGAAGUGGAGCAGCCCAUAUGAGAACCAGGCGCCGGGACUCGAACUGGCGCCCAUAUGGGAUGCUGGCACUGCAGGUGGCUGCUUUACCUGCUGCACCAUAGCUCCAGUCCCUGUUGUUGUUUUUAAAAAGAUAGUUCCUCAUAGUAUAUCUUAAUGCCAUUGUAGAAACAGUGCAGAUUUUAAAUGAUGCAGAUGCUGUAACAACAUCUCAAUUAAAAGAGUUGCUUUGUGGAGAGCCUUUUGCUUCCCAUUUUCCUGACUAGUUUUGUUAGCAGGCAAAAUAUCAUUCUUGGUACUGAACACUUUUCCCCCCUCCACCGCCCCCAAGUUCCCAUUAACAUCUCUCCCCACAGAACGCGGGGGGUGACUGCCGCUGGUGCUGUGGUCACCACAGUUGCAUUGGAAUCUUUGAGUACCCCUCCCCUCUCUGUAGUCCCUAACACGUCGAACAUGUAGUCAGAUGGACAGACCGAUAUCCUAUCCUCAUCCCUCUCUGGCUGCUUUGCCUUGUCCAGACCAGCCUGUGUGAGCCCCGCUUUCCUCAUCCGUCAGGCAGUUCCGCAGUGAAGCAUUCAGCCAAGAGCUGUCCCUGGGUGACGACAGCUUACAGACAGUGGUGUCUAUGUUGUCAGCGCUGGCCUUUUCCAGUGCCACCGUGCAGUUUUUAGUUUGUCGUCAGCAGUGCAAGGAGCCCUGAGAACCAACAGUGCUGACCAGGAAAUGUAGCCACGGCCAGAUAUUGGGUGGCUUCUGGGAGCCGGCUGAAGCGUCCCCAGGGUUAAGAUGACAGAGAAGGGGGCCGGUGCUGUGGCGUAGUGGGUUAGGCCACAGCCUGCAGUGCCAGCAAUCCCAUAUGGGCACCGGUUUGAGUCCCGGCUGCUCCACUUCCAAUCCAGCUUCCUGCUGAUGCGCCUGGGAAAGCAGUGGAAGAUGACUCAAGUCCCUGGGCCCCUGCACCCGCGUGGGAGACCUGAAAGAAGCUCCUGGCUUUGGCCUGGCACAGCCCUCAGCCAGUGCUGCAGCAGCUGGGGCUGGGCCAGCCCAAAGCCAGGAGCUUCUUUCAGGUCUCCCACGUGGGUGCAUGGGCCCAGGGACAUGGGCCAUCCUCUGCUGCUUUUCCCAGGUGUGUUAGCAAGGAGCCGGAUUGUAAGUUGAGCAAUUGGGACUCAAACCAGUGCCCAUAUGGGAUGCUGGCACUGCAGACGGUGGCUUCAUUCUUUGUGCCACAGCACUGGGCCCUGAAUAAAUCUUAAAAAAAAAAUAGGGGCCGGCGCUGUGGUGUAGCGGGUAAAGCUGCCAUCUGCAGUGCUAGCAUCUCAUAGGGGCGCUGGUUCUCAUAUGGGCUGCUCCACUUCUGAUCCAGCUCUCUGCUGUGGCCUGGGAAAGCAGCAGCAGAUGGCCCAAGUGCUUGGGCCCCUGCACCCGGGACCUGAAGGAAGCUCCUGGCUCCUGGCUUUGGAUUGGCCCAGCUCUGGCCUUUGCAGCCAUCUGGGGAGUGAACCAGCAGAUAGAAGAUCUCUCUCUCUCUCUGCCUCUGCCUCUGUUUAACUCUGCUUUUCAGAUAAAUAAAUAAAUCUUUAAAAAAAAAUCUUAAAAGCAAAAAAAAAGAAAGAUGCUAGAGGAGGCCAGUGUGCUUCUGUGGAGGGGCCGGAGCAUGCACUGCAGAGGUGAAGGAGGAACACCAGGCUCCUGGGCUGGCCAGGACGCUGCCCCAUGGGGUGGACAGACACGGCCUCACGCUCUGUCCGCAGGCUCCCCCGCAGGAGUUUGAGCUGAAGUCAUUGGAGCUGUUUGGGUUGUGGUCUUCAUGAGCUCUGUUUACAGAACAUUUGGUUCUCCACAGACAUGGUGCUUGCCGGCAUCCUGAACCGUGAAGAAUCUCGGGAAGUUUUCAGAAGCAGAUUUUGAGACCCCCUCCCCCAGCGCGCACGCGCACACACACACACACACACACACCCAAACGCACGCACACAGACACGCAGCUCUGGGGGCGUGAGUUUACUGUAACUGUUACUCUCAGGUAGAACUGGCCCAGAUUAGUUAAUAAGGUCACUGAAGUGCUGACUCGGUAACAGAAACCUGCUCCCAUACUGCAGAGUGGUCCCCCGUCGUCUGAGCUGUGGGUAAUGGGCUAUGAAUGAUUUAAAAAGGUGUCUCGGAGUGACCUUGCUUAUGUAAUCAAGGAUCAAUAUAUUUUUUUUAGAACAAAGUUUUUAACGAUAAGCCGUAGCCUUCCCUGAUAAUCAAACAUCAUUUUCCAGUGGUUAAAAGGGUCAGUGGACAAAGCCCAGUGGACUGACGCUGGCUCCCUAAUUGCUAAGGAUAGCACCGCCACCUGCCCUCUGAAUUAUGAGCGUGUUUGAAUUUUUUAUGGGGAAGGAAUUUUUCUUUUUUAAUCUGGGCUAAUUUUCACAUCAAAUGGCGUAUUAGCCAGCUGGGAGUAUCAGACCAGACAGGUGGCUGCUGCUUCUCACCUGAGGCCUGCUUUUCCCCCCGUGAGGUUUACUUUAAACAAGAGUAAGGGAUGUGAGAGAGCUGGAAUGGGAGCAAGGGGCCGUGAGUCCUUGACAUUCUUGGAAUAUUCUUAACCUCGGUGGACGAAAAACAGCAGUUCAGCUGCAGGCUCCCGGGCAGGUGAGGGCAGCGCGGAGGCUCCGGAACAUUCUGGCCCUUUUGUCUGAGGCACUUCUCCUCUUGUCAGCGGUGAGAGCAACUCCGUGGGUGUCACAGGCCAGAGGCCGUCGUGUGGUGACUGCCCUGUCAACAGGGCCUGCCCCUGAGACAGGGCCACUUCCGUAGUCAGGCCUGAGCAUGUGCUGACGGUGGAGGGAGAACAGGUCUGUGGCUUUCUCAAAGUAGGGGAAAUACUCAGGGGAGUGGAGAGAGAGGAGGGGGUAAAGACAGCAUUUCUGAUUUCCUGCCUGUCUGGCUCUUUCCCACAGCCUUUCACGUUUCCUAAGAUGGACUUUUGUCCUGCCACCCUCGCCCAAAGAUCAUCCCAUGCCGCUUCUCUCGGAUUGGCCUGCUUACCACUUGGGUACUUGUUCUGUUUCCCUGUUCAGAAUCUCUUGUUCAGGGAUUUUUCAAGAUGGUCCUAAGGUACAGGCACCCACAUCAUGGUCUGCGGGCUGGGGACAGCCUCGGGGUCCUGGUUGAGGACAAUGGGAGAAUGCCAGAGAGCUUGUCCUCACCCCUAGCACUCUGUGGCCUGUUUUCCUGGCUGGGGCCACUCUGUGGGCUUGUCUUGCACAUCUUCCACUUUCCAUCAGUAGAUAUUAUCAGCCCCCAGCCACUGUUCUCUUGGCCUGAAGAUGCUCUCUUGUCCCCAGCAGCAAUACGGGAUGCUGGUCAGUGCCUGCUCUUAGGGUCCAGGGGCUGUUUGUGAGUGAGCUGGUGCGUUGCCUCCUGUGCCCUCCCUGGCCGAGUGGCCGUGGAUGUAGGAGGUGUUCGUCAGGAGGUAAGAGGGGAAGGCAAGGCAGGGUGUCUUAGGUCAUCGUGUUUACCUGAUUGAUGUCUUCUUAUAAAUAAUCCUCACAGUUGACAUUUAAGAAAUAAAAUGGUUGAGGAGGUAGGUGGCUCGUGUUAGAUUUUAGCUGACAGGAGCUAAGGAUUUCUCUGGUAUCUCAUUCCCCAAAUGUUUGGAGUGUCAGCUCUUUGUACCUAGGUCUGUCUCGCCUAGGUCUGCCGUGGAAAAGUCUUGCUUUCCUAGGGCGGUGGUCACGGUAGUAGGCAGACUGCCCGUUCCCAGGCUCCGGCACUGCCCCAGCCGCCAGCGGCGCGCAGGAAUGAGUAAGCUCCACGUGGCUACAUUCUAAUAGGGCCCUGACCCGGUUUGAACUCAGUAAUGAGGAAAGAGCAGAUUUUUUUUUUGUUGUUCCCCCUGCCUGCCCUCCCUCCCUGCCUGCUCCUUUAUUAUCUCCAAGAGGAAAUUGAAUAGCAAAAUUCUGCAUUCUCAUAACGCUAAUGGACUGAUGUCAUCUUUUCCACUCCGAAGGCGAGAGAGUAAGAGGCACGGCUGAGGGAAGCAGGUUGAGCCCCUCAGAGCUGCCCAGGGCUUCAGCCGUGGACGGGGUGCGUGUCACUGUAUGUUUCUGAUGUCUGUGAGGUGUAAUUUACAUACCAUAAACAGUUCCCACGGAGUUUUAGUCGAUGAGCCGUCCCAUUUUAGAACAUUUCCAUCACCCCAGAAAAAUCCCCCGGGACUUUUCGCUGCCUUUCUCUCCCCUCCCGGGCCCCAAGGCAGCCAGCAAUCUCCCGGAGCGGUUUCUGUGACUUGUGUCUUCUGAACGUUUUGAUUGUGGGAUUGUGCGGGGCGCAGCCUCCGGCGUUCUGCCUUCUUGCACCAGCGUGUGCGUUGUCGGGGUUCGUCCUGGUUGGAGCCUGUCCCUGCAGCUGCUUCCUUUUCACUCCUGACUGGUACUCCCCCGUCGUGUGGAUAUACCACAUCUUGUCUGUCUGGCGUUUGACGCACGUCUUCUGGUCAUUUCCGUUUGAGGCUGUCGCGCUCCGAGACUCAUAAAAGUUCCUGUGUUGACAUUUGUUUUCAGUUCUCUUGGGUGGAUUCCCACUAGUGAUAUGUGAGGGCUCCAAUUUCUCUGCAUCUCUGCCAGAGGCUCUAUUUAAGGAAUAACCUUAGCCAUCGGGUCUGAAUGUGUAUUCUUGGGCAUAAAGUAAACCCAGGGGCUAUUUUGUUUUUGUUUUUGUUUCUGCUACAAUGUUUCACGCCUUGUUAACACCUGGAACCAAAAUCAGGUCCUUUGAUGCUCCCUUUCACUUGUCUUUCACUUCCAGGUCUGGCCAGCAAUUUGUGCAACUAAUAGUCUGACAUUGUUCCCUGUCGUUGUUUGACAUUGUUGGGUUUCAUUGUUUCUUGUUGUGAACCUGACAUACAAAGUGUGGAGAGCUUGUGUGUUUGUUGGUGUUACUGUUGAAUCAUUAAAUUAGUGUGCCUUGAAAAACCAGGUUUUUUUUUCCUGUUUUAAAUUGUUUUUCCCUUUCUCUGUUCUUUAAACCAAUGUUUGUAGCUUUGUAUUUCUGAUUGUAUGCAUUGUUUGAAUAUAGAGUAGAUACAGAUGUAUCUAUGGGGCCGGUUUUAUGGUGCUUUAAAUAACACUCCUCGGGGUUUAUUUGGAAAACACAGUUAGUGAUAUUUGUAUAAAUCGGGGCUGUUUCCAAAGUCCCAGAAACGUUGUGCACGAAGACUCGCCAACGUCUGUGAAUGUGGCGGGGACUCCUGCGCGUCUUUUGGGGCCGAAUCACUGAAGUCGCUUUUUAUGUUUGCCUGCUCUGGGAUUUUGCAGAUGCAUUUUCCUUUGUAGUGAGCUAAUCGAGCCGCUCCUGUUUUUCUAAAUGGGUCAUGUGGUUGGUCCUGGCAAAGCCUGUUCUGGUAGGGCGGCCCUUUCAUCAGGGGUGAGGUCCGUGCCCAUUCUUCGAGCAGAAGCAGAGCCUCCGAGCGCUCGUUGUGGUGGGCCCUUUUGAUUUUUGAGCUUGUGCUUGGUGUCCAGAGUGAGGCUAAGCAGUGACCAGGUGAAGAGAGUGUUCUAAAGAGGUGCACUUGACCAUCAGGUUCCCAUGUGGUGCCCAGGAGCUAAAGUCACGUCCUCAGUUCUCCUUGGAUCCAGUCACUCAGUAAGCAACCUCAACACGACUUAUACAUGAUUCUGGUGUAGAGAGGGAUGUCACAGGGAGGAGCUGGGGUGAUGUGGGUGUCACGACAAUUGGGGCUGCUCCUGGCCGUUGGUGGGCGGAGCACAUGGCACCGUGCCGUGGGCUGGGGACCACGAUUCUCCUGCAGGCCUCAGGUGCUCCUGGGAGAGUUGUGCAGACGGGAAACCAGUUUCUGAUGUUUGGACUUAGAACCUGACUCUGUGUGAUACAUGUGGAUUUAAUAUGCACCGAGGGUUCUAGGAAUGUAGCCGCCAGGUGAAUCUGGGAAGAUGGUGUUUUGUUGAAUUUUUCCAAGAGUUGCUUCCCGUUUCACAAAAUCUCAGAAGCAGUGGGAGUGCUUGUGCGGUGUCGGAGCAGCCACGUGGCACCUGCUUCGGCGUGUGCCAAUCUCUGUGUGUUUCCGGGAUUCUGCUGGUCCCUGGCUGCUUCACAGUAUUCAGGCUUCUGCUUAUAGAUAAUGAAAUCUGUAUUAAUUCAUUACAACCCACUUUCCUUUUAAUUCUUCUCCAUCAUAUAGGUUUUCCCAUCAAAAUUGUAUGUAUUAUGUAUGUUAGCGUACUCAAUUUUAUUUUGAGGUAGUUUUUUUUUUUUUCUCAAAGAUUUAUUUAUUUAUUUUGAAAGUCAAGAGUUAGAGACAGAUCUUCUAUUCACUGGUUUACUCCCCAUAUGGCUGCAAUAGCCAACACAGCCAGGCUGAAGCUGGGAGCCAGGAGCUUCAUCCAGGUCUCCCAGGUGGAUGCAGGGCCAUCUUCCACUGCUUUUACCUGGAACAUCAGCAAGGAGCUGAAUCAGAAGUGGAGCAGCCAGGACACGAACCGGCACCCCAUGAGAUGCCAACACUGCAGGCAACUUGACCAGUAUGGCACAGCGCUGGCCCCCUUGAGGUAGCUUCAAGCAGAAGUGUUGCCAUGGGCUCCAGGACCCAAGGGUGUUGUGGCCCAUGUUACUGAGGUUCUGAAUUGGUGUGUGGGGAAGAGUGACAGCUGGUGGGAGGUGGCAGCAGUGGGGCCUGGAGGAUGCAGGUGGAUAAAGCUUCCAGGUGGCCGGGUGGGCCAGGUGGUCACUGCUGUGGAUUCAUUCUUGCCAGGGUUUGGCCUCGUGUACUCAAAACCCCACUGAGCCGGCCACACGCUGCUGAGAGAGCUGUGCUCAGAGGCAUAGAGCUAGGGUAAGGAGUCAGGCUGUCGGGCCUCAGGGGCCAUGACCACAUCCGUGGUGGGCGUUACGUAGACGCAGACAGUCUUAGAUUCUCCGGCCUUUGCCCUUUCUGUCUGUGUGUGUUCCUGAUGCGGAGCUUUGCCCGGCUCACACCGGAGCGGCCCCUUCUGAAGCCCACAUGUUCUCAGCAGGGUAAAGUUACUUGGAUCCCGCAGGUGUAAGUGCCCUUUCUCUCUGUAGACCGUGUGCACCCUCCUGGGCUCUGGGAUACCGGCCACCCAUUCAUCAUUCCAGGUCACUGGAUGCCAUGCUGGUCACCUCCCCGCCACCCCUGGAAUUCAGAAUUCGAGAGGCAUCGUGUUUCCCCAGCUCCGUCACGAGUGCGGGUUGGAGUUUGUGGGUAGUUGUUGCCUCCUUCCAUUUGUUUUUGAUAUUUUGGGCAUUUCAGUGCUUUAGAAGCACCGAUUCCAGCGGUUUGUCAGAGGUGCAGGAGAAAAGCAGUGACGUCAGCCACGUUCUGGAAGCUCCUGGGAGAGGCUUGUUCAAGGGCAGGAGGUUGAAAUGUGCUUAUGAUACCAGAACGUGGGCUUUUCACCGAGGCUUUGCCUGUCCCCACGGUGUCCUGGCCGGCUGGGCCGUCUGCCACAGGGCCUGUCGGGCACGGCGGGGCGGCCUUGGCUGUGGUGCACCCAGCCAGUGCAGUCAGAGGGGCUUCCUGGGGAUCUCCCUUCCCAGUGCUCAAGGAGUUGACCUCUCGCUUCCAGCACCCAGCUGACCACUGCCGCUGUGGCCAUACCUGGUUUCUCCUGGAGGUGACUAAGCUCUGGUUCUGUUGGGUACUUCUCUUUCAGAGCAGCAUAUUUCCCAGUUUUGUCAUCACCUAGAAAGCUACUACUCACUGUAAUAUGUUAGCGUUUGCCCUUUAAGUCUUUCAGGGAAAAUAAUCACAGAACACGCAGUAGAGUAUGUUCUGUAUUUGUGAUUUCUACCUUACGGCUUCCAGAGUGAUGCAUGCGGGCUGUUUUUAUUUUUUAGAUGAACUGAAUUCGGUAGCUUUGAAAUUCUCUGUUUUGGGACAGGUCCGUCCCUGUCAUAAAGGUGACUGAUUGGCCAUGAAUACUGGCGUCCAGUGUUUAGGGGCAGCUGUAUGUUCCCUCCGUUUGAAAGCCGUACCUGGGGACCCAGGUUGGCCCAUGUGAGCGUGGAGCAGCCAUCUGAGUGCACGUGGGAUGGAGAGUGGAGGCCCCUGGCUGCCUCCCUCUCACUCUGGCUCUGUGCGUGACCAUGGAUGUAAAAGGCGAGAGCAAAAGUCCUGCCUUCCCUCUGUCUCCAUCUCGGGGUCUGAGGGGAUGCCACCAGCCCGCCCGCGUGACUCGCGUGUCCAGUCUGCAGUCACAAUGUGGAAAUGGUGGAAGAUGAGCCCCCGUUCAGCAAUUAACUGCAGGGCUGUUUACGUUCUGCUUUAAGGGUUCUCCUGAAAUGGAUACUCCCCAGUUAUUUCUAAGAAAUAUGCAGUUACACAGCCGUCUCCUGCUUUCUGGCUUUUAUUAAAAUGCAAAUGGUCUUAACUUCAAAGUAGCAUAAUUGAAUCCUGAAAGAAGUAUAACUGAUACUUUGCCUCUUCCCUGGUAUUUUUGUUUUAUCGUCUGGCCUGGCCGGCUUUUCCGACCGCCUUGCUCUCCGAGUCGGUAAAGCCCCUGCGGGGCUGGGCUUGUUCUCGGCCUGGCGGGAGACAGGGUGUGUGUGUGUGUGUGUGUGUGUGUGUGUGUUACAGCUGAAACCUGGGGUGAGCCGUGUGGGCUCUGCUGGUGCUGCCAACGCAACCUGUAUGUUAAAUACAAAUAUUGUGAAGAGUGUCAGUUAUUUUGAUGCAUUAAGUUUCUCUUCAGUUACCUGUGUUUGUUACUUAGUGCGUCUGUCUGCCUUUGCCCUUCACACACUGAAAAGUGUCAGGAAACUAAUGCAGGCUCCCUUCUCUCCCUCAGUGUCCAGUAGCAGAACACAGUUAGGACACUGGGCGUGCCUCCCAGGUACCCAGAAUGCCAUGUGCCCAGCACAUGCCCGCAUCCAGGUCUUCAUUUUUGACUCAGAGACUGAGUUGGCAUUACAGAACCUGAUAACCUAUUCCAGCCUCACUGUGUGUCAGAGCCCAAGAGCCCAGCUGUGUGGCCGUGUCGGGGUAGUGGCCAGCUGGGAAAGCAGGGGUCAAGACCACAGGUGUACCUGUGUCGAUGGAAAGGGCCUGUCGGAUUUCACUCCACAAGGUGUUUCACCUGUGCACCUGUUCCAGCCUUCCCCCCACCUUCCGCUGCCCAUAGGUGGGGGAACAGAACACAAGCGCCCUCUGCUGUUGCUGGGCCCUGGAGCUUCGGGUCCCCCUGCCCCAGCCGGUCGUCGGCACGGCCCCUUCGUGUACCACAACUGCGCCACAACUGUGGGGCUUUGAUGUCCCGGGGCCCCCACCCCUGCUUUUGAUUACAUGUGUUUCUGCUAAAGGCGACUUUUUCCAGCACUCACAGGGGGGAUGAAUCAGUUAACUCAGUCCCCCGUAGCUUUUUGUACUUUGUGGUUUCUCUCAUCCUCGUACAUUAACCAUAACAUGGGAAGGGGCAUGAUCAGAAGGCACACGUCCCAGGAAAUCAAGCAGCUCACUGCGGGGCUCCAGAAACCCUCAGCAUGGCUCCUCCAGCAGCGGGCCCGGAGACACACUCGGUCACGCGCGUCUGAGAAAUCCCCUCUGCCCCUGGAGGCGAGCCCUUGCUCUCCAGGGCACCCCCACCCACAGCUGCUGGUGUGCCCCUGUGCCCGGAGAGCUGUUCUGGGCCAGACAGACCCAUCGGACUUCCAUCCCGUCAGGACCAGAGCAAGGCUCCAGCCUCCCAGGGAAACAAGGCAGGUCCUGUGGCACCGUUUGCAAAACGUGCCUCUUGAAUAUGUUCUCUGUUAAGGCAGUUCUACCAUUCAAAGGUGUUUCUGAAACAGAAGCCACACUGCGAUGUGCAGAGCUGCUUCCCUCUGCCCCGGGCUGGGCCUGUGAGAGACAGCCAUGUUUGCUCUCCGAGGGUGUCUCCAGCAAAGCUGACCUUCCCCCAAGCCUUCUGUGUGCUCUGGAGGUCGCUCCUGGGCACUAGACCUCGUCUUGUCACAUUUCAACAGCCAGAGAGGCAGUUUUAUAACCAGCAAAGAACAGGUGCUAUUCAGGAAUCAAUAAGUGGCACCCAAACAAAUAGGUUCCCAGUUGGCUGAACCAAGUCAGGCCUGGGUGAUCUGUGCUUAUUCCCACUCCUGUGCUUUUGCUUGUGAUGGGAGAGCCUUGUCACUGAUGAGUCGCCCCGAAAGGUCCCCGGGGGUCUUAGCUGGGGGUGUGUGCCCAUGCACAUGUGUGUUGCAGGGUGCAGACUUCAGUACUGUGCCAAGCACAGAACACUGGAGAUCAUUUCAGAGUGGCUGUUUUUAGGGUAGCAGGAGAUUCCGUUGGGAGCAGCGCAGAGGGAGGCACACCUGAUGUGGCAGGGAAAGGUGCCGGCAACUUCAGCCAACCCAGAGGCCUAAGAAUAGCUCAGUGGCUGCGUGCUGUUAAUCUCGGAGGCAGUUCUCUACCGCUAGGUCACGGCGACCAGAGGCUGGUGAGAUUGAGGUGUGCGCCCCGUCUGUCCUCAUCUCACCCCUCCCUCUCUCUGGUGCCAGCCCUCCCCUCCCUGUUCAUUCAGGUGCCCUCGUGCCUUCCAAGUGCCCGAUAUGUCUGCAUCCUCAUCUCCUGUCCCCCCGGCAAAGCCUGCCCCUCCAGCUGCCCUCUCUCCUUGUCUUUGGUGGGUGGUGGGACAGCCGGAGGAGCGGGCAGGCUUCUGCAGGUGACCGUGGUCCUCUGUCCUCAGUGAGUCUUCAUGUUGGAAAGUGUACCCAAGGCUCAGUCCCAUAGCCCGGUUUCCCCUCUGUUAAAGAUGGAGUGCCUAGCUGCAGGUGUUUAGCGUAGCAGUUACCACAUUCCGUAUUGCAGUGCCUGGGCUCCAGGCCUGACCUUGCACUUCAUCCCACGUUCCUGCUGUGUGCACCCUGGGAGGCAGCAGGUACUGGCUCAAGUGGUUGGCCCCUGUCACCCAUGUAGGAGACCCACGUUGCUUUCCCCACUCUUGGCUUUAACCUGGCCCAGCCCUGGCUGUUGCAGGCAUUUGAGGAGUAAACCAGUGGGUGGAACCUCCCCCUGCCCUACCCGUUCUCUGCCUCUCAAAUAAAUAAAAUAAAUUAAAAAUGAAAUAUUAGGUUAAUUAUUAUGGUAUAAAAUAUAUUAAUAAAUUCUAUCCUACUUAAUAUGCCUGUCAUCAAAAAGGUCAUGUGAGAAUUUUUUUUUCCUGAGAUUUAUUUAUUUGAAAGGCAGAGUACUAAAAGAAGAAUCAGAGAACAGAGAGAGAUUGAUCUUCCAUCCACUGGUUCACUCCCCUAAUGGCCACGAGUGCCAGGUCUGGGCAAGGCCAAAGCCAGGAGCCAGGAGCCCCAUCUAGUCUCCCACAUGGAUGGUAGCGAUCCAAGUACUUGCGCCAUUAACUGUUGCCUCCCAGGGUGUGCAUUAACAGGACUCUGGAUCGAACCUGAUGGUGUGGGCGUCACAAAUAACUGCCUAAUGUGCUGUGCCGUAACAGCUGCCCAGAAAUGCAAGCUUUAAACUGGGUCUUCAGCAGGAUUGAGCAAGUCACAGUUUUUUACAUUUACUUUAUUUGGGGACAUUACACACAUGAAGGUGAAGUAUGAGGAGCUGAUGGUGUAGCCUUAACAGAUUUGGCUGCUGCCUGCAGUGCCAGCAUCCCUUAUGGGUGCCAGUUCGAGUCCCAGCUGCUCCACUUCCAAUCCAACUCCCAGUUAAUACAUACACCUGGGAAAGCAGCAGAAGAUGGCCCGAGUCCUUGGGCCCUUUCAUCCACGUGGGAGACCCAGAAGAAACUCCUGUCUCCUGGUGUCGGCUGUGUGGCCAUUUGGGGAGUGAACCAUCAGAUGGAAGAUCUGCCUGUCUCUCCUUCUUUCUCUCUGUAACUCUGCCUUUCAAAUGAAUAAAAUAAAUCUUAAAAAAGAGAGAGGGAGUAUGAAAUAUAAUGGCGAUUCUGUAUAUGGAAGUAGCUAGCAAAACUCAUAUUGUUUACUCAGAAGUUAAAUGCCUCAGAUUCCAGAGUGAGCAAGUUAAAUUUAGGGAUACAAUAAAUAGAUGUUUACGGUAUCAAAUUACAUUGCUUAACCCAGCGGGGAUUUCUGAUGUUUGUGUGUCCUUCUCUGUUGCUGCCUUGCUGUCAGCUGUUAGUUGUGAGCCCUGAAUGGUGAGAGCAUUGCCUCCCCCAUGGCGCAUGGAGGCCUCGUCCCUCCUUGUCUUGUCCUAGGAGUUUGGUUCUGCCACUCAACAUGCCUGCUGCUUUUUUUCCCCCAAGGGUACAUAUUUAAAAGCAAGGGAAUUUUCAGUUAGUUUGAACCAUAAUCAUAGCAUUUAAAAUUUUUUUUUAAUUUAAAUUUCAUUUAUUUGAAUGGCAGAGUAAUAAAGGAAGAGACAGAAAGAGAGAGAGAGAUAUCUUCCACUUGCUAGUUCACUCCCCAAAUGCUUGCAACAGCUGGGACUGGGCCAAGUCAGAGCCAGGAGCCAGGAGCUCCAUCCAGGUCUCCCACGUGGGUAGGAGGGACCCACAUACCUGGGCCAUCACCUGCGGCCUCUCGGGUGUGUAUUAGUGGGAAGCUGGAUCAGAGUGGAGCUGAGACUGGAAUCCAGGCUCUCCGGUAUAGGUGUGUCUUAAUCAAGAUGCCAAAUGCCCACCACUGCACUCUAUGUUUUCUACAAAGCCAAGAAGUGACUAUAAGUUGCUUCAACUUUAUUUUUAUUAUACUUUCAAGUAAUGGCUUGGAUAGGUAUGUUCCCAAAGAGGAUCCUUGAAAUGGGAAAAUAGACCCCAACAUCUUUUAAAACAUCCGCUCCUCCCCCUAUUUCCUCUUCCUCUGCUGUAGAGGUUGAUGUGGUAGAGUAGCAUCAGGGUUCCAUAGGACAGACCAGACUAGUAAGUGCAAAUGGAGUUCCGAGACGCUUCAUGUAGAUGAGAGCACUUGAGAUCGUGCUCCUCACAAUUUGAGAUUUAUCCAGGGAGGAGAAAUGGAUGCAGGCUGGGGUUGAAAACAAAGGAGAGAGAGAGUCUCUGGACUACUUAGAUAUUCAUAAUAUUAUUGCCCUCAAGUCAGAACUCGGAGGCUUCAUUUGGCUCGUCAGUUUUUAUGUGGACUAAAGGCAUUGUGUGGGAGUUGAAAUAUUCUCAUGCUUUAGUGCUAGGAGUCAGUAUGCUGUCUUUUUUAAUUUUUUUUUUUAAAUUCAUUUGAAAGGCAGAAAGACACAGAGGUCUUCUUCAUCUGCUGGCUCACUCUCCAAAUCCCUGUAACAGCAGGGGCUGGACCAGGCUGAAGCCAGGAGCCCACUCAACCCGGACUUUCCCACGUAGAGCCAGAAACCAAGAGCCAGGGGCCAGAGUUGAAACUCAGACCCAGGCACUCUGAUUCGGGAUUCAGAUGUCCCAGGCAGUGUCCUAACUGCUGCACCAGGCACCGGCCCUGAGAAGUUUGCUUUCUGGCAUCAGCUGACAGCUGCUUGUUGUCGGGAGCGGCAGCUAGGGGAGGCAGAUCUGUGCUGGUGAUCUGAGAGAUCUCCGGGAAGAGGGGCUGUUGAGAUGCGGGCCUGCUAGGAGUCUCUCUAAUGACAGGGUUGGGCUGGCUGGUAGGAUUCUGGCUUUGUUAUGAACCUGGGAGACAAGUAGGAAGAUGUCCCAUGUACCUAGUGUUUCAUUUAAUGAUCUAGAAGAAAAUAGUUUUUUUUUUUUUCUAUUUAUCACACGCCGAUUUUCUCCUUAGAGGAACAUUAAUAGUUGGUAUUUUUGAAAACUCUGGCUUUAUUCUGCGUCCUGUAGGAGCAGCCAGUAACCAGAGCUGACAGUCUGACUCGGGUCCAGGACUCGUCAAAACACUUUGAAGACCUGAGUGUAAGUCUCUCAGGUGGGGAGUCAGUCUGUAAGGAAUCUCUUUUGCAUGAAUGAGUUUGUUUUAUUUACUGAUUUUUUUUUUAAAGACUUGUUUAUUUGAGAGGCAGAGUUGCAGAGAGAGAGAGGGAGACAGAGAGAGAGAGAGAGAGAGAGAUCUUCCGUCCACUCUCCAAAUGGCCACAAUGACUGGCCAGACUAAAGCCAGGAGCCUGGAACUCCAUCUGGGUCUCCCACACAGCUGGCAGGGGUCUAAGUACUUGGGCCGUCUUCUACUUUUCCCAGGCUGCAUUAGCAGGGAGCUGGAUGGGAAGUGGAGCCUCUGGGACCUGUUUGGGGCGCUGUUGUUGCAUUCAGCAGCUUAACCUGCUGUGCUAGCCCCUGAUUUGCCAUUUUGCUGUUGUUUUAAGAUUUAUUUAUUUGAAAGACAGAGUCACACACACACACACACACACUCACACUCACACUAGCUGGGGCUGGGCCGUCUGAAUCUCCCACGUGCAUGGCAGGGGCCCAGGCACUUGAGCCAUCUUUCACUGUCUUCCCAGGUACUUAUUAGCAGGGAAGCUUGACUGGAAGUGGAGCAGCCAGGACUCAAACUGGUGCUCCGAUACAGGAUGCCAGCAUCGCAGGCCACGUCUUAACCCGCUGCUCCACAACAAAAUAAGUCUUUGGACACCAGAUUCAGAUAGCUACUUUGAAGACGUUGGUACUUGUCUCGUCAUUCGUUCCUCUGCGUCAUUCAUUCCUCUGAGCCUCACCUACCAAGUGCUUUCAGAUCCUGCCCCAGGAAGUGGGCCUGGCCCCAGGCAGAACCUCCUAUGUGGUGGUCGCAGUAAGCUUUGCUGUCCACCUCCCGGAUUCUCGCUGCCUGGUGGUUUAUGACGGCUGUAGGCGUUUCUGCCACAUCUCGGGUUCCUCCUUGAGGAUGUACACGAGACACGGUGUGAUCCUGUUUUCUCUAAGCCAAGCCCAAGUGUGCAACUCUUGGAAUUUUCCCAUGGAACUUGCUCGCUUCUGAAAGUUUCACCGGAAGGACUUUUUUUUUUUUUUUAUUUUUUGGUUAUUUGAAAGUGUGGAAAUACUGUCUUUUGAUUUUGUUUUUUAAAGUUGUCAUCUGUGAAGGUGGAAUUUGACUGCUAGCUCCUACUUGCUUUAAAUCUCUGUGGAAAAAAAGUUUAAAUUUUAAAUAAUUUCCUGAGAGUAGCCACCCUUAAAUGAUAUGAAUCAUAGUGGGUGUGUGGGGGGGGGGCGGUCCUUGGUGUUUAAUCUUUUCAAAAAGAGUUUCCUUGCUUUGUAACGAUCUUAAAUAAAUAUUUGCCAUGAAGUACAGUAGAGUAGCUACUCGCUGUUAAGGAAUGGGCAUGUGGCACCCCGUUCCUUUGAGCCAGGGUCCGAAUGGUUGGAUUUUGUUUUUUGGUGGUGUGUGUUUCAGUGUGGAGAGAAGACCAUGGUUUGUUGCAAAUGUCUCCCGGCACUGCACAGCUGAGGGAUGGGGGGAGCCGGCCCCCCGCGGCAGCACUUGAAGUCUUGCUGUUUGAGAGCCCUUGGGUCUCCCUGGUCUCGGGCCUGACCACAAGCUCGCCUCGUAGUCAGCGCCCUGCGGGUCACCUACAGGGGGUGUGGUCGUCACCGCGAGCCGAGCCGGCUGGUCGUGCACGUGGAACGUGUCACUUGCAGAGAGUCGAGGCUUCUCUUUAAAAGCGUCAUUCAGAGCGAACAAGCUGUGUUCAGUCUGACCUUCACCGGCCGAUGCGAAGGUGCCUUCGGCCUAAGAGUAGACCUGGAAAUGGUGCAGGACACGCAGACGCUUUUGUAAGUAUUUUUCUAAAAUGACCUCAUUUGAUUUUAAAUAUCUAGUUUAUGAAAUCUCAGGAAGGAUACUUUUUUUUGAUCCACCUUUUAACCUUCACUGGGCUUUUUAAAGGGAGGGAGGAGUGGUUUCUCCUCGCUCAACCCUGAACCAUUUUAUCUCAAGAAUUCUGUUCUGAAGUCAGUCAUCCUUUGUGUAUUUAAACCAGAAGGCUGGAUUAGAGUUUCAAAGAAAAUGAUAGGCCGUGCAAAUAACCACAAACGACAUUUUUUGUUCUGGGCACCAAAAAGUUGUGGAAAACAUUGCCAGGUCAGUUAGAGCACGCAUGCAGGGCCUUCCGCUUGGGAUUGUGUGUGGAAGCACAGUGUCUCAGGCACCCAAGCUCAGUGGAGUCAGGUGUGUCCAGGAAGUUUAACUCAGUGCCCACCCCCCCCACCCCCGCCCCCGCCCCACCUGCCACAUUCUUGUUCUAUUUUGGAAAAGAAUUUAAUUUUAUAGAGUGAAUGAAAUACAACUGGGUGCAGUUUCUUCCAGGGAGCUGCUGGGAGACUCAGGAGCAGGAAAGGGUCCAGCUUGCUGCUCUAAGGGAGUUCUUAGGCCUCCGGCUACUCCUGGGGAGGGGCGGCGCGAUGUGCUGCAGGCCUCGCCGUGUGGGAAGGCACGUCACUGAGCCGUGCAGCCCGCUGCCUGUCCGAGCAAGCUCUGCAUUCCACAGGGGCUCAUCUAGCUUCCUUCCUGAGUUUACAAUGACCCACACCCCUGUUAGCAAAAUGUCGCCGCCAGUGUGGUGGGGGAUGUUGGCACCUCAGACACGACAGAAUACCAGUGUACAUCAGAGGUUCGUGGGACAUGGGAUUAAAAGGUAAGCUCAUUUUGGUGGAAAAAUAAAUUUUGGAAAUCCAUGCAUAUAGGGCAUCUUCAAAGAGUUGAUGGGAAAUGCAUAUUCUGAAUGGCCUCUGUGUGGAUUUCAGUUUUUGCACCGAAAUAAACUUAAACCUUUUAACUCAAUUUCCCCACCAUCUUUGAAGUCCCUUCAAGACAUGCAGGUCCUCAGAUGAAAGCUACUCACUUUGGGAAAUGGCUUGAUUGUAAAAAAAAAAAAAAAAAAAAAAUCUCCCACGCAGCCAGCGGUCCAUCCAUACCCCCUGCAGGCACAUUCACUGCCAUUUGUCCCCCGUCUCCCAACAUCAAAGGCUGCACAGGGCCGUGCGCGGCUCCCCCAAAAUGAGGUGCGUUUGGGCGGGAUGGAAAAGACCCCUAGUUUCUUUCCAGUUACACCAAGUGUGGUGGUGGAACUGAAGCCAACUCCCUGGAAAAGUGGACACAUGAGUCUUGAACGAGGGGUGGAUGGGUUUGAACACGGCCCAGACCGCAGCCGGGAAGAACACGUCGUUCCUCAGCACCUGCGGUUGCGCGUGCCCGGGGCGGUGAAUUCUGUGCUUCGGUUUCUAGGCAACUUGCACACAUUUUAAAUCUGAAAAUAAACACACACACACACACACACACACACACACUUGGUAAAAUGAUAAAAAGCCUAGUGACAUAAGCCGUUUGCCACCACCCUCAGUAACUACAGCAAACAGCCAGCCCCAGGCCGCUACCAGGUCCUGGAAGGGCUCUGGUGGUCAGAUGGAGGCAGUGAAGACAAAGCCACUGUAAAUAGCCACUGUUGCGGAGUGACUUGGUCGCCACGGCGCCAGCAGAGCUUGUGUGUGCUCCGUCCCCAGGGCCCUGCGAGAGGCAGGUCUCCUCCAGGGACCCGGCUUCACUUACGGGAGACCGCCUUUCCCGUUCUCCGAAUCAGUCCUGCACAGAGAUUCUUAGAAGUUGUGCGUGGUGCUGUUCCUGCCAGCAGUGGUGUCAGCGCAGGACGGGCUGCCGCGUGACGCCCUGCGUGUCAGCUGUGUCCGUCUUCCGUGCACCCCUUUCCUUGUAGAAGCUCCCGCGACUCAUUGCUUCUCACCAACUUUGCGUUACUUCCUGGGGGGGGGCAGGUCCCACCCAGAGGGUGCACCUCCGUGUCUCCACUGCAACCAGGGAGUGGAGGUGGAGCGACAGGAGCAGUCCCAGAGCGCGGCUUCAUCUCUACUCGAGGUUGGGACUCGAAGGUAACGGAGGUGGGUUUAUAGGUGAAGAGAGUGUUACAGGAUCGCUGGUAAACGUGGCAGCCUAAAAGGAUCUUGUGAGGCCAGACGCACGUGGAGAGCUUCUGAGCUCUGGGUUUGAAAGAAGAGUGAUUGUGGCCCUGCUGAAUGGCCAGCAGUCAAAUGCAACACAUGUGGGUAGGUUCAAUUCCUUUAAAUAUUUAAUAACCUAAUGGCAGGCAGGGUUAGCAUGGGGUCAGCCAGGCCUUUUCAUGAUGCCGUUGGGGUCUUGAGCAGCAUGGAUCAAUGGAGAAAGCGCCAAGUGAAAGUAGUGGUGUGGGGAAGGAAACAUAAGAGCCGUAAGAAAAGUCUGGGUCUGGAACAGCGGCGUCCAAGGCUCUGAGGAUCAGCCGGCACCAGGGCUCUGACUUGGGUGCCACGGGACCAGUGGCCCCCCGCUGGUUGGUUUGUAGACUCCUGCAGUAAGGAAGCCUGAUGCCUGCUGUCUUUACAUGUAUUCCUGUGUUCAAGGACGUGUUCACAAAUGUGUCAUGUUCCUCUGACAGAGAUGGAGUAGCUUAAAUUGCUGUAGCAGAUUUAAAAAUGAUAUUUUUCCAAAGAAUAAAUCAGUAAUAAAUAUAUUGCUAAUAGACCCAGUUAAUGAACUCGUAUGUUCUUACCUGGCUGUCUUCAAUGCUAAUUCUCUGUGUCUUCACUAAAAACUGGAUCUGUUUCAAGUAAGUUCCCUGCUACAGUUAGACAAAGCAGUUUGCUUAAGUAUGAUAGUCCCCUUGUCCACGGCUUCACUUUUCCAAGGUUUCAAUUAACAGGACCAUCAGCUGCACUCUGAAAAUAGUAAAUGGAAAGUUGCAGAGAUAAACAACUUCUUUUUUUUUAAAUAUAUAUUUUUUGACAGGCAGAGUGGACAGUGAGAGAGAGACAGAGAGAAAGGUCUUCCUUUGCCGUUGGUUCACCUCCCAAUGGCUGCUGUGGCCUGCACGCAGGUGCUUCUCCUGGUCUCCCAUGCGGGUGCAGGACCCAAGGACUUGGGCCAUCCUCCACUGCAUUCCUAGGCUGUCGCUCCCCCUCUUCGUGGAGGAACGACACAGGACCCUGCGCUGUUCUUUCGUCUGCUCGGCCCUCCCCGGGUUUGCUGCUGGUUCUUCCCGGGUUGGCUACUAUCCCUUCCACCUCCGUGGAAGGGCAGUUCCCCCUGGCCACAUUCCCCACUUCCGCAGGGGAGCGGCACACCGCCGGCCGGCUCUCUGGGGGGCUGCACAGGCGUUCCUUCAGAUGUUCCCCUUAGAUGUUCCUGGUGAAUGCCGUCUCUCUCCUCCUUUAUAGUCCUCCUCCGCCAAUCCUAACUCGGCUGCCCACACGCCGAGUACGCUGCUCUCCAAUCAGGAGCAAGUCCUACAGUUUAUUGGUUGAACUGGAGGCAGCUGUGCGGAAGCUGUUUACUUCUCUCCCAGCGCCAUAUUGUGGGAGAGCAGAUGCAUAGAAUAAGUCUUAAUUCCAGUAACUCAGUCCAGUCCGGGCUGCUCCCCACACUAGGCCACAGCAGAGAGCUGGACAGGAAGAGGAGCAACCGGGACAGAAUCUGGCACUCUGACCGGGACUAGAACCCGGUGUGCCAGCGCCGCAGGUGGAGGAUUAGCUUAUUGAGCCGCGGCGCCAGCCGAGCUUCUCCCAGACCAGCUUGUCUUGCUUCUGGAGCGUCUCCUGGAGCAGCAGACACUGAGCCCCCGGACACUGCGGAGCCUCCACAGGACGUACCGCCUCCAGGAGCAGGACGCGGAGGUCCGGCACCGGUGGUGCGAGCUCAUCGUGAG